GGAGAAGUGGCCGAGUGGCCGAAGGCGCUCCCCUGCUAAGGGAGUAUGCGAAUAAAAAUCGCAUCGAGGGUUCGAAUCCCUCCUUCUCCG
rfam:Bacterium 2013Arg42i strain 2013Ark11 genome assembly, chromosome: I